UGAAAUUCUUGGCAGCUUUAGUUGCGAUCUUCGCUUUCGUUUACCUCUGCUCAGCUGAUACUUGCUGUACAAACCAGAAUGAAGUGUAUGCAAAUGGAACAGUGUGUGAUACCGUAUGUGGAACAGUAGGUUGCCCAAUUCAAACGCUCGUACCAGUUCUACGUUGCCAAUGUGCUUCAGGUUUUUGCAGAGACGAAUGGAACGUCUGUGUGUCGGUCUAAUAAACAAUCAUAUGAAAAAAAAUUGUCGCUUGGAAUAUGUGCCUUCUUGAAUAAUAAAGUUCUAUAUUAAAA